rnacentral:rRNA from 1 species
GACGAACGCUGGCGGCGUGCCUAAUACAUGCAAGUAGAACGCUGGGGUUUGGUGUUUACACUAGACUGAUGAGUUGCGAACGGGUGAGUAACGCGUAGGUAACCUGCCUCAUAGCGGGGGAUAACUAUUGGAAACGAUAGCUAAUACCGCAUAAGAGUAAUUAACACAUGUUAGUUAUUUAAAAGGAGCAAUUGCUUCACUGUGAGAUGGACCUGCGUUGUAUUAGCUAGUUGGUGAGGUAAAGGCUCACCAAGGCGACGAUACAUAGCCGACCUGAGAGGGUGAUCGGCCACACUGGGACUGAGACACGGCCCAGACUCCUACGGGAGGCAGCAGUAGGGAAUCUUCGGCAAUGGACGGAAGUCUGACCGAGCAACGCCGCGUGAGUGAAGAAGGUUUUCGGAUCGUAAAGCUCUGUUGUUAGAGAAGAACGUUGGUAGGAGUGGAAAAUCUACCAAGUGACGGUAACUAACCAGAAAGGGACGGCUAACUACGUGCCAGCAGCCGCGGUAAUACGUGGGUCCCGAGCGU